GCGGGCGGGAGGGACUGCUAGGUGGUUUGGCCGCCAGAUGGCAGGCGUGCGCCGUGCCCGCAGGUCUCAGCCCCUACACGGGCGCGCGGGGCCGGGCCAGGGUAUAGUCCGGUGAGCCGUGGCCGCUUCGCUGCCGCUGCCCCGGGGUCGACCCACCGGGGAGGAAAGCCACAGGCACUGAGCGCCUCCUGAGAGCCAGCCCUGACGUGAACUCAUUUUAUCUGCAACGACCCAAAAGGAUUCUACUGCUAAGAUUUCAACAUGUCCUAUGGCUGAGUUAAUCAGAAUUCUGACAGGAAGGUACCUGGCAUACCAUCGCAAUGCUCCAUCAAUGCUAGUAUAUUGUAUUCUUUCCUUCACAUCAAGUCAACUCGUCUUUCUCUACUUACCUGGUGUACACAGUCUAAGAACUGUAAGAAUACUGGAGCAAAACCACUCCCCUGACAGUUGAGGGUCAAGCUGCUCCGCUGAUUGAAUUUGUGACCAAAAGAGAGCCACUCUUUUUCAACCAACAUCCGGAAGCCUUCAAGUGUCCUAUAAAAGGGAUCACUGAGUAACUGAACCAGGGAUGUCACCUAGGGCACAAGCAGGAUGGAUUUGUCAUUAAUUUUAGUUCUGAAAAAAAAAAAAAAGUCCUAUUACUAAGAUAAAAGCACUUCCUGCUGAUGCUAGCUAAAUCACAAAGUUACCUGGACAGCAAAUUUGUUCACUAACCAUUCCAGGAUGGCCAAUAAAAUGAAUUCUGUAAACUUUCCAGUAAAA